rnacentral:rRNA from 1 species
AGCGAACGCUGGCGGCAGGCUUAACACAUGCAAGUCGAGCGGGCACUCCGGUGUCAGCGGCAGACGGGUGAGUAACACGUGGGAACGUACCCUUUGGUUCGGAAUAACGCUGGGAAACUAGCGCUAAUACCGGAUACGCCCUUUUGGGGAAAGGCUGGCUGCGGAAGUAUCGGCCGGCGACUGUUUAGCUGGUUGGGGGGGUAAUGGCCUACCACGGCGUAGUUCAGUAGCUGGGCUGAGAGGAUGAGCAGCCACACUGGGAGUGAGAUCCGGCCCAGAAUCUUGCGCGAUGCAGCAGUGGGGAAUAUUGCACAAUGGGGUCAAGCCUGAUCCAGCCAUGCCGGGUGAGUGAUGAAGUCCUUAGGGUUGUAAAGCUCUUUUGUCCGGGACGAUAAUGACGGUACCGGAAGAAUAAGCCCCGGCUAACUUCGUG